rnacentral:rRNA from 1 species
UUCCGGUUGAUCCCGCCGGACCCCACUGCUAUCGAGGUGGGACUAAGCCAUGCUAGUCGAACGAACAGAACUAUGUCUGUAAGUGGCAUACUGCUCAGUAACACGUAGCUAACCUACCCUUAGGACGUUGAUAACCCCGAGAAAUUGGGGCUAAUAGGCGAUAGGUGUGAUGUCCUGGAAUGGUAUCACGCCCAAAGGUAUCCCAUACAUGCUUGGUAUACGCCUAAGGAUGGGGCUGCGGCCGAUCAGGCAGUUGGUGAGGUAAUGGCUCACCAAACCAUUGACCAGUACGGGCCAUGAGAGUGGUAGCCCGGAGAUGGACACUGAGACAAGGGUCCAGGCCCUACGGGGCGCAGCAGGCGCGAAACCUCCUCAAUGCACUAACGUGCGAAGGGGUUACCUCGAGUGCUAUCUGAUGAAGGUGGCUUUUCCAUGGUCUAAAAAGCCUAGGGAAUAAGAGGGGGGCAAGACUGGUGUCAGCCGCCGCGGUAACACCAGCCCCUCGAGUGGUGGGGAUGAUUAUUUGGCCUAAAGCGUCCGUAGCCGGCCGGGUAAGUUUCCCGUUAAAUCCAACGUCUCAAGCGUUGGACUGCGGGAAAUACUGCCUGGCUAGAGAGUGGGAGAGGUCAGCGGUAUUCUGGGGGUAGGGGCGAAAUCCUUUGAUCCCCGGAGGACCACCAGUGGCGAAGGCUGCUGACUAGAACACGUCUGACGGUCAGGGACGAAAGCUGGGGUAGCGAACCGGAUUAGAUACCCGGGUAGUCCCAGCCGUAAACGAUGCAUGCUAGGUGUUGGGUUGGCCACGAGCCACCCC